rnacentral:rRNA from 1 species
GACAGAGGGUGCAAACGUUGUUCGGAAUUACUGGGCGUAAAGCGCACGUAGGCGGCUUUCUAAGUCGGAGGUGAAAUCCUGGAGCUCAACUCCAGAACUGCCUUCGAUACUGGAGAGCUUGAGUCCGGGAGAGGUGAGUGGAACUGCGAGUGUAGAGGUGAAAUUCGUAGAUAUUCGCAAGAACACCAGUGGCGAAGGCGGCUCACUGGCCCGAUACUGACGCUGAGGCACGAAAGCGUGGGGAGCAAAGCAGG